UAUGACGGGUAUCCGGCCUGAGAGGGUGAACGGACACACUGGAACUGAGACACGGUCCAGACUCCUACGGGAGGCAGCAGUAGGGAAUAUUGCUCAAUGGGGGAAACCCUGAAGCAGCAACGCCGCGUGGAGGAUGAAGGUUUUAGGAUUGUAAACUCCUUUUGUUAGAGAAGAUAAUGACGGUAUCUAACGAAUAAGCACCGGCUAACUCCGUGCCAGCAGCCGCGGUAAUACGGAGGGUGCAAGCGUUACUCGGAAUCACUGGGCGUAAAGAGUGCGUAGGCGGGAAAAUAAGUCAGAUGUGAAAUCCUAUGGCUUAACCAUAGAACUGCAUUUGAAACUAUUUUUCUAGAGUGUGGGAGAGGUAGGUGGAAU
rnacentral:rRNA from 1 species